rnacentral:lncRNA from 1 species
UAAGAAAUACCAAAUGCGGCCCAAACUCUAGAAUUUUUCUCAAGUCAAAAAAAAGUUUAUAAAACAUGUUCAUCUUCUUCGUCCAUGUUCAUCGCCCAUUUUUUCCAAAACCCCGAAUCUCAGAUAAAUAAAAAAGGUAUAAUAGUAAGAUUUUUUUUUUUUUUUUCGUUUGAAGGAAGGACAACACAGAUAUUGAUCACUGGUAGGACUUUUUUUUUUUUCAGGUCUCCCACAUUUCUGUAAAACAAAUGGAGUACAACAACCAAAACAACACAUGCUCAGUUUGCAAAAACGAAUGCUCGGUUCCAGUGACAACUAAUUGUGGCCAUCGUUUCUGUGGUAUGUUUUUUAUUUCACAAGCUUUUAAAGCUUUG